AUAACGGCUCAAAGUUUGCAGCUAUUGCAGCAGAGACGCUUGAUCCUUCUCUGUGUUGGAAGGACAUAGACUGGUUAAGGUCUGUCACUAGUUUGCCAAUUCUAGUCAAAGGGGUCCUAACAGCUGAGGAUGCAAUAAAAGCUAUGGAAGUAGGGGUUGCUGGGAUUGUUGUCUCUAACCACGGAGCUCGCCAACUGGAUUAUUC